CGACAGCUGGCCGAGUGGUUAAGGCGAUGGACUUGAAAUCCAUUGGGGUUAACCUGCGUGAGUUCAAAUCUCACAGCUGUCGU
rnacentral:tRNA from 1 species